rnacentral:tRNA from 1 species
CGGGGCGUAGCUCAGUUUGGUAGAGCGCACGGUUCGGGACCGUGAGGUCGGCAGUUCAAGUCUGCCCGCCCCGACCA